GACGUAGGGCGCGAGCGUUGUCCGGAUUUAUUGGGCGUAAAGAGCUCGUAGGCGGCUCGUCGCGUCGGCUGUGAAAACCUGCCGCUCAACGGUAGGCGUGCAGCUGAUACGGGCGGGCUAGAGUUCGGUAGGGGAGACUGGAAUUCCUGGUGUAGCGGUGAAAUGCGCAGAUAUCAGGAGGAACACCGGUGGCGAAGGCGGGUCUCUGGGCCGAUACUGACGCUGAGGAGCGAAAGCGUGGGGAGCGAACAGG
rnacentral:rRNA from 1 species